GCACUAGAAAUGCACUAGUCAUUGUUGCUAAGUAACGUUUAAAAAUAUGAUAAUUUUGCUAAUAACGACGCAAUUUGACAAAUAUUACACUAAUAGACUGUGGAUUAUUCCAAAAAGAGUCGCAGAAUUUAAAAUUUUCGCAAAUCCAAUUUUAAAGAAAACAAAUUUUUCAUUUUUGGGAAAAUAUUUGGUCGGGCUGGGCCCGACCAGCCAGACCGCUAGCUACGCCACUGGCUAUUACAGCGUAGAUUGCAAGUUUAAAAGGUGUAAACAUCUCGAAUCUUAAUAAGAGAAGCAUCAGACUGACCUGGCUGGACAACCUGUAGCCAUACUGUAUCAGAAGAAGAAAUUGUGAUGUGGUGUGAAUCUUGCAAGAGUUCCACAGAAGACAGUGUAUUUUGAGGAGGACACGGCAUGACACAAAAUUCUUGGCUCUAUACAUUGUUCGCUUAAACAUUGUAAUGCAUUAAUAUUCUAAAGAAUUAAUUCCUAUUUAUUAA